rnacentral:piRNA from 1 species
UAGACACAAACUUUUCUUCCCUACUAAGUA